rnacentral:rRNA from 1 species
UACGAAGGGGGCUAGCGUUGUUCGGAAUUACUGGGCGUAAAGCGCGCGCAGGCGGCUAUCCAAGUCAGUGGUGAAAUCCCUCGGCUCAACUGAGGAACUGCCUUUGAAACUGUGCGGCUUGAGGCUGGGAGGGGGUAGCGGAAUUCCCAGUGUAGCGGUGAAAUGCGUAGAUAUUGGGAGGAACACCAGUGGCGAAGGCGGCUACCUGGACC